CCCAAACCCAUGUGAACAUACCUACUGUUGCUUCGGCGGGAUUGCCCCGGGCGCCUCGUGUGCCCCGGAUCAGGCGCCCGCCUAGGAAACUUAAUUCUUGUUUUAUUUUGGAAUCUUCUGAGUAGUUUUUACAAAUAAAUAAAAACUUUCAACAACGGAUCUCUUGGUUCUGGCAUCGAUGAAGAACGCAGCGAAAUGCGAUAAGUAAUGUGAAUUGCAGAAUUCAGUGAAUCAUCGAAUCUUUGAACGCACAUUGCGCCCGCCAGUAUUCUGGCGGGCAUGCCUGUCUGAGCGUCAUUUCAACCCUCAUGCCCCUAGGGCGUGGUGUUGGGGAUCGGCCAAAGCCCGCGAGGGACGGCCGGCCCCUAAAUCUAGUGGCGGACCCGUCGUGGCCUCCUCUGCGAAGUAGUGAUAUUCCGCAUCGGAGAGCGACGAGCCCCUGCCGUUAAACCCCCAACUUUCCAAGGUUGACCUCAGAUCAGGUAGGAAUACCCGCUGAA
rnacentral:misc_RNA from 1 species